rnacentral:rRNA from 1 species
ACUCAAAGGAAUAGACGGGGGCCCGCACAAGCAGCGGAGCAUGUUGCUUAAUUCGAGGCAACGCGAAGAACCUUACCUGGGUUUGACAUGCAGGGAAAAGCCGUAGAGAUACGGUGUCCGUAAGGGCCUUGCACAGGUGGUGCAUGGCUGUCGUCAGCUCGUGUCGUGAGAUGUUGGGUUAAGUCCCGCAACGAGCGCAACCCUUAUCCUAUGUUGCCAGCGGGUAAUGCCGGGGACUCGUAGGAGACUGCCGGGGUCAACUCGGAGGAAGGUGGGGAUGAGGUCAAGUCAUCAUGCCCCUUACACCCAGGGCUGCAAACAUGCUACAAUGGCCGGUACAAAGGGCUGCUAUCCCGCGAGGGUGAGCGAAUCCCAAAAAGCCGGUCUCAGUUCGGAUUGGAGUCUGCAACUCGACUCCAUGAAGCUGGAGUUGCUAGUAAUCCCGGAUCAGCAACGCCGGGGUGAAUACGUUCCCGGGCCUUGCACACACCGCCCGU